rnacentral:rRNA from 1 species
AGGGAAUAGAUACCCGGGUAGUCCUGGCCGUAAACGAUGUCCACUAGAUCGUGGUGGCUCUGACGCCAUCACGGUCGAAAGCAAAAGUGCUAAGUGGACCGCCUGGGAAGUACGGUCGCAAGGCUAAAAACUCAAAGGAAUUGACGGGGGCUCACACAAGCGGUGGAGCAUGUGGUUCAAUUCGAAGCAACGCGCAGAACCUUACCUGGGCUUGACAUGCUAGGAUUAUCCCUAUGAAAGUAGGGUAGGCCCUUGGGGUACAACUAGUACAGGUGCUGCAUGGCUGUCGUCAGCUCGUGUCGUGAGAUGUC